UCCAAAUAUUAAAGAACUCAAUGGUAACCACUAAUUCUGACAAUACAGGGACUGUCUAAAGUAAAACCAAUAUCUUUAACUGAUGGAACGGGAUUGACUUCUAUACCAAGUUAUAGAAGAUGAGUAAAUUUUUGGGUAAAGUGGUCAACAACAAUGGAUGCAUAUCUAAUGAAUAACUUUUUAUAGUUUUUGAGAUGGCUGUACGGCGUCCAGCUUUUAUUUCUUUGAAAAAUAAGGAGAGGAACUGUUUCGAAUCUUCAGAAAAGAUUCCGAAGAGCUCAGUGGGGCUUAACAUCAUUCUAGUGUCGGACAAAGGCAGCCAAAUUAGCGCUCAUCUGACAUAAUUGUUAUCUUAAUUCAUAUUUUUAAAUGUAAAAUUAAUACAAACAACUUACAUUCUUAACUUCAAAACCUGUUUAUAUUAGAUGUUAGUACUUUGUUUUCCACGCAAUUUUGAAUAAACAUUCAUUUGAAUAUUGACUAUUA